AGAGCUGUAGCUCAGUGGAAGAGCAUGUGCUUGGCACGCAGAAGGUCCCAGGCUCAGUCCCUGGCACCUCCA